rnacentral:rRNA from 1 species
GACGAACGCUGGCGGCGUGCCUAAUACAUGCAAGUCGAGCGGACCACUUCGGUGGUCAGCGGCGGACGGGUGAGUAACACGUGGGCAACCUGCCUGUAAGACUGGGAUAACACCGGGAAACCGGUGCUAAUACCGGGUAAUCCUUUCCUUCACAUGAGGGAAAGCUGAAAGACGGUUUCGGCUGUCACUUACAGAUGGGCCCGCGGCGCAUUAGCUAGUUGGUGAGGUAACGGCUCACCAAGGCAACGAUGCGUAGCCGACCUGAGAGGGUGAUCGGCCACACUGGGACUGAGACACGGCCCAGACUCCUACGGGAGGCGGCAGUAGGGAAUCUUCCGCAAUGGACGAAAGUCUGACGGAGCAACGCCGCGUGAGCGAUGAAGGCCUUCGGGUCGUAAAGCUCUGUUGUCAGGGAAGAACAAGUACCGGAGUAACUGCCGGUACCUUGACGGUACCUGACCAGAAAGCCACGGCUAACUACGUGCCAGCAGCCGCAGUAACAC